rnacentral:rRNA from 1 species
GGGGGACGGAGAAGGCUAUGUUGGCCGGGCGACGGUUGUCCCGGUUUAAGCGUGUAGGCUGGUUUUCCAGGCAAAUCCGGAAAAUCAAGGCUGAGGCGUGAUGACGAGGCACUACGGUGCUGAAGCAACAAAUGCCCUGCUUCCAGGAAAAGCCUCUAAGCAUCAGGUAACAUCAAAUCGUACCCCAAACCGACACAGGUGGUCAGGUAGAGAAUACCAAGGCGCUUGAGAGAACUCGGGUGAAGGAACUAGGCAAAAUGGUGCCGUAACUUCGGGAGAAGGCACGCUGAUAUGUAGGUGAAGUCCCUUGCGGAUGGAGCUGAAAUCAGUCGAAGAUACCAGCUGGCUGCAACUGUUUAUUAAAAACACAGCACUGUGCAAACACGAAAGUGGACGUAUACGGUGUGACGCCUGCCCGGUGCCGGAAGGUUAAUUGAUGGGGUCAGCGCAAGCGAAGCUCUUGAUCGAAGCCCCGGUAAACGGCGGCCGUAACUAUAACGGUCCUAAGGUAGCGAAAUUCCUUGUCGGGUAAGUUCCGACCUGCACGAAUGGCGUAAUGAUGGCCAGGCUGUCUCCACCCGAGACUCAGUGAAAUUGAACUCGCUGUGAAGAUGCAGUGUACCCGCGGCAAGACGGAAAGACCCCGUGAACCUUUACUAUAGCUUGACACUGAACAUUGAGCCUUGAUGUGUAGGAUAGGUGGGAGGCUUUGAAGUGUGGACGCCAGUCUGCAUGGAGCCGGCCUUGAAAUACCACCCUUUAAUGUUUGAUGUUCUAACGUGGACCCGUGAUCCGGGUUGCGGACAGUGUCUGGUGGGUAGUUUGACUGGGGCGGUCUCCUCCUAAAGAGUAACGGAGGAGCACGAAGGUUGGCUAAUCCUGGUCGGACAUCAGGAGGUUAGUGCAAUGGCAUAAGCCAGCUUGACUGCGAGCGUGACGGCGCGAGCAGGUGCGAAAGCAGGUCAUAGUGAUCCGGUGGUUCUGAAUGGAAGGGCCAUCGCUCAACGGAUAAAAGGUACUCCGGGGAUAACAGGCUGAUACCGCCCAAGAGUUCAUAUCGACGGCGGUGUUUGGCACCUCGAUGUCGGCUCAUCACAUCCUGGGGCUGAAGUAGGUCCCAAGGGUAUGGCUGUUCGCCAUUUAAAGUGGUACGCGAGCUGGGUUUAGAACGUCGUGAGACAGUUCGGUCCCUAUCUGCCGUGGGCGCUGGAGAACUGAGGGGGGCUGCUCCUAGUACGAGAGGACCGGAGUGGACGCAUCACUGGUGUUCGGGUUGUCAUGCCAAUGGCACUGCCCGGUAGCUAAAUGCGGAAGAGAUAAGUGCUGAAAGCAUCUAAGCACGAAACUUGCCCCGAGAUGAGUUCUCCCUGACCCUUUAAGGGUCCUGAAGGAACGUUGAAGACGACGACGUUGAUAGGCCGGGUGUGUAAGCGCAGCGAUGCGUUGAGCUAACCGGUACUAAUGAACCGUGAGGCUUAACCUU